GCACUCUUAAUUUAAUGGUUAGAAUAAUAGUU
rnacentral:tRNA from 1 species